GUCUCUUCGGAGACAUCCGAUAAAAUUGGAACGAUACAGAGAAGAUUAGCAUGGCUUUGCACGAUGACACGCACAAAUCGAGAAAUUGUCCAAAUUUUU
rnacentral:snRNA from 1 species